rnacentral:rRNA from 1 species
AGAGUUUGAUCCUGGCUCAGGAUGAACGCUGGCGGCGUGCUUAACACAUGCAAGUCGAACGAUUGAAGCUGGAGCUUGCUCCGGCCGAUUUAGUGGCGGACGGGUGAGUAACGCGUGGGUAACCUGCCUCAUACAGGGGGAUAGCAGUUGGAAACGACUGGUAAAACCGCAUAAGCGCACGGUGUCGCAUGACACAGUGUGAAAACACUCCGGUGGUAUGAGAUGGACCCGCGUCUGAUUAGCUAGUUGGUGAGGUAACGGCCCACCAAGGCGACGAUCAGUAGCCGGCCUGAGAGGGUGAACGGCCACAUUGGGACUGAGACACGGCCCAAACUCCUACGGGAGGCAGCAGUGGGGAAUAUUGCACAAUGGGGGAAACCCUGAUGCAGCGACGCCGCGUGAGUGAUGAAGUAUUUCGGUAUGUAAAGCUCUAUCAGCAGGGAAGAUAAUGACGGUACCUGACUAAGAAGCACCGGCUAAAUACGUGCCAGCAGCCGCGGUAAUACGUAUGGUGCAAGCGUUAUCCGGAUUUACUGGGUGUAAAGGGAGCGCAGGCGGUGCGGCAAGUCUGAUGUGAAAGCCCGGGGCUCAACCCCGGUACUGCAUUGGAAACUGUCGUACUAGAGUGUCGGAGGGGUAAGUGGAAUUCCUAGUGUAGCGGUGAAAUGCGUAGAUAUUAGGAGGAACACCAGUGGCGAAGGCGGCUUGCUGGACUGUUACUGACACUGAGGCACGAAAGCGUGGGGAGCAAACAGGAUUAGAUACCCUGGUAGUCCACGCCGUAAACG